rnacentral:rRNA from 1 species
ACCGCACAAGCGGUGGAUGAUGUGGAUUAAUUCGAUGCAACGCGAAAACCUUACCUACCCUUGACAUGUCCGGAAUCCUGCAGAGAUGCGGGAGUGCCGAAAGGGAAUCGGAACACAGGUGCUGCAUGGCUGUCGUCAGCUCGUGUCGUGAGAUGUUGGGUUAAGUCCCGCAACGAGCGCAACCCUUAUCAUUAGUUGCUACGCAAGGGCACUCUAAUGAGACUGCCGGUGACAAACCGGAGGAAGGUGGGGAUGACGUCAAGUCCUCAUGGCCCUUAUGGGUAGGGCUUCACACGUCAUACAAUGGUCGGUACAGAGGGUUGCCAAGCCGCGAGGUGGAGCCAAUCCCAGAAAGCCGAUCGUAGUCCGGAUUGUUCUCUGCAACUCGAGAGCAUGAAGUCGGAAUCGCUAGUAAUCGCGGAUCAGCAUGUCGCGGUGAAUACGUUCCCGGGUCUU